rnacentral:lncRNA from 1 species
AGUGAGAGUGAAUUGACCAACACAAGUGGAAAACCAUGCUGGGUAAUGGUUACCCAGUGAAAAGUUAUAGUUUUGGUAUUUUGCUUGCUUUCUAAACCUUGCAUGAUCUCACAUCACUAACAUAGCUUGAAUGUAAUUCUUUAGACUUCAAUGAUUUCUGGCAUUUAAUCUAGUGAUCAGUGUAUAUACAUCAUGUUUUGGUAAACGUACAUAUACAUCUAUCUAUCUAUCUAUCUAUAUAUAUAUAUAUAUAUAUAUAUAUAUAUAUUCUCAAAAUUCAAAAGUUCCAUUUUUACUUACAAAAGUUAUUAAAACUCAUUUUCAACGUAUUUUAAUUUUAUUAUAUUAAGAGAUUCUCAGUUAAAUUACAUAACUUGUACAGUACAUUAGAGGUGGGGGGGGAAGUAACUGUUAUUAUUAUUAUUAUUAUUAUUAUUCAUUGCAUAUUUAGCAACAUUAUUUCAAUUGGUAAAAAUUACAAGGAAGUAAAGAACUUUAAUUUCAAAAAUAAAAGGUAAAUAUCAUCCUACUAUUAAAGAAAAAAAAUACCUAGUUUUAACUUUUACAAAGACACAUUAAUUUGAUUACUAAAUAAUAUUAUAUACACUUCAGAAAAACAUAAAUAACUUUCAUUUUAUUGUUAUUACAUUCAACAAUAAGGAGAGAUUUUAAAUAAUUUCAAUUGGUUAUAUUUGAAUAUAAAAUGUACACAAUGCACACACACACACAUUUAUAUAUGAAGAGGCAAGUAAAUUAAAAAUGAAUAAUAGGAAAGAGUUAAAAAACAAAAAUGUAGAAAUAAAAUAAUAAUAAUGAUAAUAAUAAUAAUGAUAGAUUAUUGUGAUGACUAUAAUCUUCAAUUCAAUUAAUGACUAUAUAAAAUUUCAUUUGAUUGAAAUAAAGAAAAAAAAAAGAAACUGGUAACAAAUAAUGGAAUACUUUGCAGUCACUUGAUGUUUUUUCCUUCUCAUUCAUGCUGUCUUCUUGUGUGCUAAAUCAGUUAAAAUAUGGGUUUAUUUAUGGUAUAGUAUGGUACUGUUGUAAAGCUGAUAACCAGAUUAAAGUUUUAGGGAUGCCUGUGAGGAAUGUGCAUGCAUAUUUAUUGACACAUGUACACAUUCAGAUACACUUACAAAUUUACUCACACACACACAUGCAACUUGUAAUUAUUAGCAGUAACUGGGAGAGUUUCAUCAACUUCAUUAUUAUUAGAGAUGACGAGGUGCAAAGGUGUGAUUUAGUAGGGCUACUUUCAGUAUUAACAAAAGGUAUUCAGUUGGGAAAAUACUUUGGUCUUUUGAAUAAGCUGCUAGUCUAUUGGGAAUUUUGCUCACAUAAGGAUUUAAUUCAAUACAGCAAACUUGCCUUGCUUUACAGUAAGGAGUUGUCCUCCUCCAUUCUACUUUUUAUUCUUUGAUCAAGCAAGGAAAGGCAGCAUUCAAAACUCAUUUCACAAUCUCUAAGACCGAUGAGAGGAAGGACAGUUCUUCUAAAACUCGAUAUUUGGCCUGAAUGUUUGCAACAGAGUGGACUCUGUUAAAGCAACUAGAAGGAACAAAGGUGUUAAGCUGAGUGAGGGAUUAAGUUUGGAAAGCAGGAACAGAGACAAUUUUUCUGAUAGGCUUCCUCAAAAUUUUUAUCUGCCAUAUUUAAUAAGGCUCUGUAAAUCCAAGGUAAUGAUAGGAGACACUUGCCCUAGGUAUUGAUUGCAUUGUAGGAUCUAAAUCAAAAGUACAUACGUAUACAGACCACUUCUUCAUUUUAUGGACAUACCUGUAUGAUGGCCAUCAUAUAUAUUAUGAUGCUAAUGAUCUUCUCAGAAGCACUGGCAGCGAAAAUACAUGGCUUGGUUUUGACUCAGAGCGGAAACUGGCAACCAAAUUUUGUCUUGUCUGGAAUCUAUCACUUACCUGUCAAUACUUCUUUUACAAACACAUUUCGUAAACAAGAGUAAAAAAAAUUCUUUUACAAGAGUAAUUAAUUUUUUCCUCUCUACAAAUCAAUAAUAUGUUGACAGGUAAUAUACAGGGAUGUAAUGUAGAAAUGUUAAAGCAGAAAAGAUAUCGAGUAAUAGAAAGCCAUAUGAGAUUGCAAAUGACACCCAAAAUGUAAUAAACUAUCUGAGCAUAACAUUUCAUAUCAGAGUUCUUGGUAAUUGGAAAUGCAUUAAACAAAACAAUACAUAAUGGCUUUCGAUUCUUCCACAUGAAUGAAGCUUAAACUUGGUAUCAAUGUUCAUAUAGAAAAGCUUGUCAAACAAAAAAUAAAUAUAAAACAAAUUCCAAAGCUGGAUACAGUCUAGUUCACUUCUAAUGAAGUAAUUCCAAUUAAGGAAAUGAGGGAAGAAGAGAUGGAAUCAUUGUAUUAGGUUGUAAUUUUCUUUAUUAUUCAUUUAUUUAUUUAUUUAUUUAAUGGGGCACAGUGAUUGAACUGUUAAGGUAUAAUAGAAUUAUCAUGGUUUAAGAAUUGAAGUUUUAAAUCUGAUUCCCUUCAUUAACAUUCUGUCCUUUCACUUAACAUAAUAUUUUGUUUGCUUUUAUUUAUGUAAAACCCAAGUCUAUUUCUGCAAAUGAAAAUUUUGGUUGAAAAUUAUUUUCUUCAAAACGCCAGAAAAAUAGUAAACUUGUAGAACAAGGAUAUUCUUGGAAACAUUUUAAACAAUAGGUAAAUGAAAAAAAAAAGAAAAUUAAAAAAAUAAAGAAGUAUCUCAAAAUUUUUCAGUUUCAUUGUCUAUAAAGACUACAACUUGUCAUAUUACAAAUACAUUUCUCUAUUGAUUUUAAAGUUAAACACAAGGCCAUUUGUUGAAGGACAGAGCUAUUAGUUAUUUACAUCAACUUACUGCAUAUCACUGGUUCAAAUUUGACUGAAUUGAAUGAAAAUCAAAGUUGAUCUUAGCAGUAUUUCAAUUCAAAACUGUGUGGGCUGGAUAACAUUUGAGUUCCACAUUACAUUAUUUUAUUAUAAUAAUAAUAAUAAUAAUAAUAAUACAUCAUAGUGAUUAGGUGAAUUGUUAUGUGUGAGCAUGCAAAUACAAGAUGGACAUUCCAUAGAAGAUUAUAAGAUGACAAAAAAAUAUUGUAUCAAGGUAAGUCUUACCUUGAUAUAAUAUUUUAUGUGUUUUUUUCUGGAAAAACUGUUUAAUUUUCUUCAGAAAAAAAAAAAGUUUUAUUCCUUUUUUUUUUUUAGAUAUUGAAAUCAAAAAUAAAAUGUGAUAAAUGACAAGUGAUAUACUGAAGGUGAAAAAAUAGUAAAAAGAAAAAAAAGCAUUUAAUGAGCUUUUUUUAAGGCUGAACUAUUAAAAAGACUAAGAAUAGAAUUGUUAAACACAGAAUUUCUAUCUGAAGAUGAAGCAAACUUCAAAACAUUGAAAUUUUAUUAUUUUUGCUCAUUUGAAAGAUGAACUACUUCUAGAUCGAAUGUUUUUGCUCAUAAUAAAGGCCUAGUUUAGAAUUAAACCUGGAAAGUUGGGGAAAUACAAUUAUUUUAACAAUUUAAUUUCAAGAUUACGACUUUACCACUACAGUUAGUUGCGGUAGUUGAGAGCCAGAGGCAAGAAAAGGAAGCAAAAACAUAUACUGAAACACAAACCAAAAUUAUAUAUAUAAAUAUAUAUAUAUAUGUACACACAUAUAUAUGUACAUACAUAUAUAUAUAUGUAUAUACAAGUAAUAUAUAUUUACAUACAUACAUACAUAUAUGUAUAUAUAUAUACUCAGCCAAUAAAAUAUACGUAUGUCAGAAAAGAAGCACACUCUAAAGAAUAGAGCAGUAAUUAUUACAACAAAAAUUACCAAAGUUUUCAUAUCAGACUCUAUACCAAGACAAAAAAUUUAAACUUUCUACAUUAUGGAGAUGAGGAAAUGCUCAGAAAUCAAGAUUUAAGACAUAACAUGUAAAAACGUUAAUGAGGACGGGUUGUCUUCCCUAAACCAUAGGAUAAAACGCUUAUAGAGCCAAAAAAGCCUAACCAGCAAAUGGAGAGAUCCAAUUUUCCAGUAGGUAGCGCUUGAAGUAGAUACAUUUAGAAAAAAACUUCUUUACAACUAUUUAACGGACUAGGUUUAGUAUAGCCCUUAAGAAUUUUGGCUUUCUCCUCGAUACAAAUUUUGCAACAGCCACUCCCAUUAAUAUAUGGGCCUGAAAAAUCUAUUAUUUUCCAUCCAGUAUCACAUGGGGUCCCUUGGAAAAAUGAUAGAUCAUCCAGGCCUAUAUAUUAAUGGGAGUGGCCAUUGCAAAAUCUGCAUCGUGGAGAGAGCUAAAAUUCUUAAGGAUUAUGCAAAACCUAGUGUGUUAAAUAGUUUUUUUCUAAAUGUAUCCACUUCAAGCGCUACCUCCUGGAAAAUUGGAUCUCCCUAUUUGCUGGUUAGGCUUUUUCAGGUCUAUAAGGGUUGUGUUAUCCUCUGGUUCAGGGGAGGCAACCCAUCCUCAUUAACGUUUUUAUUAUAUGUUAAGACUUAAAUCUCACUUUGUGAGCAUUUCGUCAUCUCCAUGAUGUAGGAAGUUAAAAGUUUUUGUCUUUGUAUAGAGUCUGAGGAGCUUUGGCUUUGUAGAUAUCAAACCUUUGGUAACUAUGCCCAAAAUUUAAAUUUUUGUUGUAAUAUAUAUGUAUAUAUAUAUAUAUAUAUAUAUAUAUAUAUAUAUUUAUGUAUAUCACAAAAAUACACUUAACUGUAAAUACACAGGCAUAAAUAUAUGUAUGCAGACACAUGUGUACACACACACACACACACACACACAUGUACAAAUGUCAGCAUAUGGAUAUACAGAAAGACAUGACUACAAGCAAAAAUCAAGGUGAAUUAGCAGCUCUUACAGAGACUAUGUAACAACUAAAUCUUACUGGUUACAGCCUAUUUUUCUGAAAAGGAAAUGACACACCUGAUGAUGAACAUUUAAUUUACAAUGCAUGAGAAAAAGACUGGAUGGCUUGGAAUGCUUUUGAACAUAGAGUGAUUCAAUAAAACUGACUUAGGACUAAACAACAAUCAAGAUAACAUACACAUAUAUAAACACUGAGUCAUCUACACACAUAGAAAUAUAUAUAUAUAGACACACACAUUCAAACACCCAUUCAUUCAAAUACUACAAUUCUACCACUACUAUAAAUGAUGAUAUAUACAUAGAGAAAUAAAAGUAUCUGCAAGUUAAACUUUCAAACUUGAAUUUAUUAACGAUAGCAAGCAAAUCUUCAGCUGUACAAUUCUAUUCCCCCACAUCGUUAAACAGUGCCAAACAUUUUUUUUUAAAAAUAACAAAUGCAAAAUAGCUCUCUUGAGAGAAAGAGAAUAUUAAAGCAAGAAUUGGCUCUAAAAUUUUAGUGAUAACAUUUUUAUCCUUGGCAAUCUAUUCUCAUAGCUGUUAGUUGAACAGAAGUCAAUGGGUAACAGAGUAUAAAAUUCCUUGGAAUCAAAUCCUUAAUAUCAUUCUGGCAAAAUGGUCAAGGAAAAUAAUAAAUUUCUCAUCCCACCUCCUAAUUCUAUUGUCUUUUCUGUCUUCUUUUGGUAUUUUUCUUUUGUUUUAAAUAAUUUAUGUGUUUCCUUCUUUUCUCAUAACUUUCUUUUAUUUUUGGCAGCAUUAUUUUAUUUUUUCCAAAGCCCCUCCUUUACAAAAAGUGUCUCAUUUUUAUUGUUGUUGUUAUUGUUGUUUUACUGUAUUGUUAUUUGUUUUUUUUUUUUCAAUUACUUUCUCUCAGUUUUUUAUUAUUAUUAUUUUAACUCUUCAAUACCUUACAUUCCUGUUUUCACUUCACACCAUAAAAGUAUUUUCACAAAAGUUUGUUCAAAAACUUUUUGUGAAAAGAUCUUAAGCUACAGCACAUUUAGUAUAUUCUCCCUACAUCUAACCAGCAACAACGACAACAAAAACAAAAAAGGAUAUUAAAAAUAUAAAUGAAUUGAAAGAAAAAUGAUAAAACAACCUUUACUACAGCUAUACACAAUAAUUGUUCUAUAUUUAUUUAUAAAAUGUUUAUGUUGUAUAUUCUGGCCUAGGAAGAAACAGAAAGGGAGAAAAGGGAAGACAGAAAAAUAUGAGAAAAGGUUGGUAGGGAAAAACAAAGAGAGAAGGGUUGAGAGGAGACAUUACAAAAGAGAAUCAAUAAUGAUGAAUUAACUAUGAUUCUCUAUGUAUAUAGCAGGAGGAAAUAGAUUUUUUUUUACUUUCAGGAGGAAAAUCUUUUGUACAUUUUCCCUUCCGUAGAUUUUGCACAGCCUGAAGGGAAACAUAAGAUAGUUUCUAAAGCCAAAAGGGUUUCUGUUUAUAUACAUAUUAAGCAGUUUUUAAUUUGAUUUUAUUUACAUUAGAAUACUUUCAAAAUCAAAUAUACAAUCCUGCCAGAAAUAAACUAAGCUGAUUAAAGAUUAGAGAUGGAAAAUUCAAGGUUUUUACUUUCUAUUAUUUGUUUACUUGUUAAAGCACAAAUCUCAACUCACUAGAAAAUAUCAGUCAAUGGUUUUAAUUUGAAGAGUAAUUGCAUUCUAUUUUCAGUAAGAGUGAGAUUCUAUACCUAUGCUUAUGUCUAUAAAUAUAACAUACACACACAAGGUUUAUUUCCAAAAUCCAUCUAGUGGAUCUUGAACAGUGAUGUGGUAUGGGAGAACAGUUCUUUGAGUGAAAGGGGUCAAUAUAGUCAUUUACAAGUAGGUCAAAAAUUAGCUUCACUCCAGAUUAUCAGUGUCAUUGAACAAGUUCCAAGCAGUUUUUUCAUAAUUACUGUAAAUAAAACUAGAGAUGAAAUCAUACAGAUUUGUAAUUUAUUUGGUAUAAAUUCAAACAGUUUUCCAAUUUGAUAUCUUCCUCCUUAUGGGUGAGGCUCUUCUAGAAUUUCUUGUAAUAAUUCUUGAGUGUUAUGUUUUCUGUGAGCAUAUACAUGUUUCUUUCAAAGGAGAUUAGAAUCUCUUGUUACAGUUAAAAAUCAAAUUUAUAGCCUGUAUUAGUAUGUUUUCAGGAGAGAGGUGAACACUCACUACCUGCUUCUGUCCGCACUCCCUGCAGUAUCUCAGCACAGAACUUUAAAAUAUUUAAAAUAAAAUAUCUGAAAUAUAUAUCAUCAGAUCUUUUAUAAAUAUGCUACCAAACUGUCAUAUUCAAUUAACUCAAACUUCAACACUACUUUAUCAUAUUUUACUGCAUCUAUGCUUAAUAAAUAUGACAAAACCAUUAGAUAACAAUGCGCUACGCUUUAUAUUUUCACUGGUACUCACGACUGUCUGCCACAGAUAAAAUAUAUCAAUGUGUAGUUACUGCUAACAAUAAAUUUGAAGCUUAUUUGAGUAUGAGCUCAAAUCAUUUUAAACCAAACUUUUAUUUUCAGAUGUAUUCCUUUAGGAACUCUGACAGAAGCAAAGAAACUUCUUUAGCUUCGGGCAUUUCGAUGGUAAAGGAGAAUUUGAUACCCUAUAUUAUAGGACUGCAAAUACCUUAUAUAGUUUAAGCUUUUCUGGAGAAUAAUAAUAAUAAUAAUAAUAAUAAUAAAAUCUGUAAGUGUGUGUGCAUAUAAAUAUAGUAUGUAAUAUAAUACAUACAUGUAUAUGAUUACCAAAAUGUAGGGAUAAUUCAGUGUAAGCCACAUACACACUAAAUAUUUUCAUCAACAUAGGUACUUCUUUGUUAGCUCUCUAAACAACUGACAUGAUCUGAUUUCCUUCAAACUACUCAAGUAUGUAGCUGCUAUUACUGAUAUAUCAGUUUUCCAUCUCAGAGAGUUCAUUGCAAGUCGGGAUUCAAACAUCUAGAAACCACCAUCAGGCAGUAAAUCCUUUGCUGAAGUGGUCUAAGUAUAUAAUGCAUAUCUGUAAUAAUAACAUAAAUUUAAUCUCACAGGUGGUGUAUAUAAGUAGGAGCCAUUUCCAGUCUUCAGUCACAUAUAUGGUUGCAUAAAAGGUGGAGAUAAGUUUGUCUUUGAAAAUGAUGAUAAUAAUAAUAAACCAAAGUAAUCAAGAAUUGAUCUCAAAGUAGUCAAGAAGUGAUGAUAUGAGUCAACAGCCAUCAUAUCAUCACACACACAGACACACAUACACAUACAGAUAGUUAUAUGAGUGUACUUUGUGUAUUUUAUACAAGUAUCAGCACCAAAGAGGUUGUCCUGUCUGUUCAUCAUAGGACAGGAGUAAAGGAUUCUCUCAACUCAAAGUUUCCUUGUUCUACAACAUUACAGAAUUUUUCGGAGUGCAUUUUAUUGAUGUCCCAGUACUGGCAGGGUUACUGUGUAUCCUGCAUGACAAAAUUUUAUCCUUAUUGUUCAAUGUUACUAACUUUUUUUCCAUGUAACCCGAUCAUGUAACAAGAAAGUAAUUGCAAAAGAUAAGCUAGGAUGGGGUGGAAAAAGGGACCUGAGUAUAAAGUGGGAAACAGAGUGAUUGGGUUGACAGCAAGAUGAUGGAAGAGGAAGAAGAAUGGGAGAUACAGUCUUGGAACAGAGUAAAGAAAGAGAGAGGGAUGGAUAGUUAUGAAGAGCCACAGUUCAAUAUACAUACACACACAUGCAUUAGAUACAAGGGUAGAAUGAUAGUAAUGCACAAUCAUACAUAAUGUAUGCAAAAGAACAAUAUUCACAUUAUAGUUAAAGCCUUGAUAUAUACUUUUCCCAAUAUUCUCAUAAGUCUAAAGUUCCUGUAAUUUUUCAUAUUUAUGUGAAAAUUCUUAUAAUGUAUCCGGUUGAAUGUUCUUUAUAAUGCUAAAUCUCAACUUGAAAUUCAACUGUAAGAUACAGAUAUGUUUUGUGUAAAACAAUGUCUUCAAGCCACUGUAAACUUAUGGUUUAAUAUAUAGUAGUAGCCUAGACUCUUAACUUUUUAAUUACUGUGCCUCUUUACUGCUUAGAACUGCAAAGUUCACUUCAUAAUAUUCUUAUUACAUAACAUCUUUAUUUAUUAUGUAUUUCUCCUCAUAUACACUAAAAAAAAAUAAUUCUAAACAGUUAAUCAGAAGCUAGCUAGACUGUUACUUAUUUACUAUUCACUAUAUCUGAAGAGCAUCAACAAAACCUUUGUGGUUCUCUUACUUAGAGAAUAAUAAAUUUAAAAAAAACAACAUUUAUAUACAACCUUACAUGAAGGCACAUACUUAAAUAGGAAUGUAUAUAAAGUGAGGAGAGCUUUUGUGAAGGGUUUCAAAAUACAGCAUUUAUAUAAAUGGAAAUGGUAUAUUCUAUUUGGAUUCAGAAGGGAAACAGUCAUCAAAAUUCUCAUAAUAAUAGAAAGACUUAUCUUAUUCAACACCUUAUUUAUUAUUAUUAUUAUUAUUAUUAUUAUUAUUAUUAUUAUUAUUAUUAUUAUUAUUAUUAUUAUUAUUAUUAUUAUUAUUUCAAUCUAAGAGCAUCUGCGUUCAGUAUGUAUCAAACUGUUUGAACUAGAAUCUAUCUAGAAGAUUUCUAUAGAGACACAUAAGUAAUUUCCUUAUAGCACACACACACACACACACUCAUGUAUAUUACUCCUCCUACUACUACUACUAACAACAACAACAAUAACAGCAAUAAUAAUAAUAAUAACAAUAAUAAGAAGCUACUUCUAAGUUUCACUCUCAUCUUAAUCCAUUAUUUCAAAAAUUAUUUGCCAGAAACAGUAUUUUCAUACAUUUUUCUUCUUUUAAAACUUGCUUAUUUUCAUCGUUACUUUCUUUAUGUUCAAUAACAGCAACUGCGUCUAAUGUGUGAGAGUGUAAAUGUUGUAAAAAAAAUAAUAAAUAAAGCUAAUAAUAAAAAAAAAUAAUUUGAAAAAAAAGAACAAGGUACAUAUUGCAAAAGAGUUUAUAGCUGCUGUCGUGGAUAUUCUACAUAUGUCAUGAAGUAAUUUCUUCUUUGCUCUCUGAAUGCUAUUAUGCAAUUGUUUGGAUCAAAGGAUUAAUGAUGAUAUAUUUUGGCAAUAAAUAUGAAUUGUUGAAUUCCCUUAGAGACUAUAUUUUUUGUGAAAAUGCAUACAAUUUGUUAGUAAAUAAAACAUUAUUCAUAUUUUUAUCUUUUAUUUUUAAUUAUGUUUAUCCUCUUUUUAAGGGAAGA